rfam:Vigna angularis cultivar Jingnong 6 scaffold322_35, whole genome shotgun sequence.
AUACCUUUCUCGGCCUUUUGGCUAAGAUCAAGUGUAGUAUCUGUUCUUAACAGUUUAAUAUCUGAUAUGUGGGUCAAUGGCCCACACGAUAUUAAAUUAAUCUUUUAAAGGGGAAUGUCCAUAACAGUAUAUAAACAUCUCCUAGAAAAUAUAACCCCUU